rnacentral:rRNA from 1 species
AUUGAACGCUGGCGGCAUGCUUUACACAUGCAAGUCGAGCGGCAGCGCGGGGGCAACCUUGGCGGCGAGCGGCGAACGGGUGAGUAAUGCAUCGGAACGUAUCCUGUAGUGGGGAAUAACUCACCGAAAGGUGAGCUAAUACCGCAUAAGCUCUGAGGAGGAAAGCGGGGGGACCGAAAGGCCUCGCGCUGCAGGAGCGGCCGAUGUCCGAUUAGCUAGUUGGUGAGGUAAAGGCUCACCAAGGCGACGAUCGGUAGCUGGUCUGAGAGGAUGAUCAGCCACACUGGGACUGAGACACGGCCCAGACUCCUACGGGAGGCAGCAGUGGGGAAUCUUAGACAAUGGGCGCAAGCCUGAUCUAGCCAUGCCGCGUGAGCGAUGAAGGCCUUAGGGUUGUAAAG